UACAGAGGGUGCGAGCGUUGUCCGGAAUCACUGGGCGUAAAGGGCGCGUAGGCGGUCUGCUAAGCGUGUGGUGAAAGCUCGGGGCUCAACCCCGAGUCGGCCGUGCGAACUGGUGGACUGGAGCAUGUCAGAGGCAGGCGGAAUUCCGGGUGUAGCGGUGGAAUGCGUAGAGAUCCGGAAGAACACCAGUGGCGAAGGCGGCCCGCUGGGCAGUGGCUGACGCUGAGGCGCGACAGCGUGGGGAGCAAACAGG
rnacentral:rRNA from 1 species